rnacentral:rRNA from 1 species
CGGAGGAAAAAGAAACUAACCAAGGAUUUCCCCCUAGUAACUGCGAGUGAAGCGGGAAAAGCUCAAAUUUAAAAUCUGGCGGCUCCGCCGUCCGAGUUGUAAUUUAGAGAAGCGACUUCCGCGCCGGCCUGUGCACAAGUCUCCUGGAACGGAGCGUCGUAGAGGGUGAGAAUCCCGUCUUUGGCACAGACUCCCGGUGCUUCUGUGAUGCGCUCUCGAAGAGUCGAGUUGUUUGGGAAUGCAGCUCAAAAUGGGUGGUGAACUCCAUCUAAAGCUAAAUAUUGGCGAGAGACCGAUAGCGAACAAGUACCGUGAGGGAAAGAUGAAAAGCACUUUGGAAAGAGAGUGAAACAGUACGUGAAAUUGUUGAAAGGGAAACGCUUGAAGUCAGUCGCGUCUACCGAGACUCAGCCUUGCCUUGGCUUGGUGUACUUCUCGGCCCGACGGGUCAGCAUCAAUUUUGCCCCUCGGAUAAUGGCAAGGGAAAGGUGGCACCUUUACGGGUGUGUUAUAGUCUCCUGUCGCAUGCGAGGGGUGGGAUUGAGGAACUCAGCACGCACCUCGGUGUCGGGGCUUCGGCCCACGUAACGUGCUUAGGAUGUUGGCGUAAUGGCUUUAAACGACCCGUCUUGAAACACGGACCAAGGAGUCCAACGCGCCCGCGAGUGUUCGGGUGGAAAACCCGUGCGCGCAAUGAAAGUAAAAGUUGGGACCUCUGUCGUGGAGGGCACCGACGCCCGGACCAGACCUUCUGUGACGGAUCUGCGGUAGAGCGUGCGUGUUGGGACCCGAAAGAUGGUGAACUAUGCCUGAAUAGGGUGAAGCCAGAGGAAACUCUGGUGGAGGCUCGUAGCGAUUCUGACGUGC